AUUGGGUUUAAAGGGUCCGUAGGCGGUUUAAUAAGUCAGUGGUGAAAGCCCAUCGCUCAACGGUGGAACGGCCAUUGAUACUGUUAAACUUGAAUUAUUAGGAAGUAACUAGAAUAUGUAGUGUAGCGGUGAAAUGCUUAGAGAUUACAUGGAAUACCAAUUGCGAAGGCAGGUUACUACUAAUGGAUUGACGCUGAUGGACGAAAGCGUGGGUAGCGAACAGGAUUAGAUACCCUGGUAGUCCACGCUGUAAACGAUGUCAACUAGCUGUUGGUCAUAUGAAUGUGAUUAGUGGCGCAGCAAACGCGAUAAGUUGACCGCCUGGGGAGUACGGUCGCAAGAUUAAAACUCAAAGGAAUUGACGGGGGCCCGCACAAGCGGUAAUCGAA
rnacentral:rRNA from 1 species